rnacentral:rRNA from 1 species
AUUGAACGCUGGCGGCAUGCUUUACACAUGCAAGUCGAACGGAAGCGCGGGCUUCGGCCUGGCGGCGAGUGGGGAACGGGUGAGUAAUGCACCGGAACGUGCCCAGUAGUGGGGGAUAGGCCGGCGAAAGCCGGAUUAAUACCGCAUACGACCUGAGGGUGAAAGCGGGGGACCGAAAGGCAUCGCGCUCUUGGAGGGGCCGAUGUCGGAUUAGCUAGUUGGUUGGGUAAGGGCUUACCAAGGCGACGAUCCGUAGCUGGUCUGAGAGGACGACCAGCCACACUGGGACUGAGACACGGCCCAGACUCCUACGGGAGGCAGCAGUGGGGAAUGUUAGACAAUGGGGGCAACCCUGAUCCAGCCAUGCCGCGUGCGGGAAGAAGGCCUUCGGGUUGUAAACCGCUUUUGUUCGGGAAGAAAUCCUCUGGGCUAAUACCCCGGGGGGAUGACGGUACCGGAAGAAUAAGCACCGGCUAACUACGUG